AGUGGGGAAUAUUGGACAAUGGGGGCAACCCUGAUCCAGCCAUGCCGCGUGAGUGAUGAAGGCCUUCGGGUUGUAAAGCUCUUUUGGCGGGGACGAUGAUGACGGUACCCGCAGAAUAAGCCCCGGCUAACUUCGUGCCAGCAGCCGCGGUAAGACGAAGGGGGCUAGCGUUGUUCGGAAUUACUGGGCGUAAAGCGCGUGUAGGCGGUUUGCCAAGUUGGGUGUGAAAGCCUUGAGCUCAACUCAAGAAAUGCACUCAGUACUGGCAGACUAGAGGACCGGAGAGGAUAGUGGAAUUCCCAGUGUAGUGGUGAAAUACGUAGAGAUUGGGAAGAACACCAGUGGCGAAGGCGGCUAUCUGGACGGUUUCUGACGCUAAGACGCGAAAGCGUGGGGAGCAAA
rnacentral:rRNA from 1 species